rnacentral:rRNA from 1 species
ACGGGUGAGUAAUGCCUAGGAAAUUGCCCUGAUGUGGGGGAUAACCAUUGGAAACGAUGGCUAAUACCGCAUGAUGCCUACGGGCCAAAGAGGGGGACCUUCGGGCCUCUCGCGUCAGGAUAUGCCUAGGUGGGAUUAGCUAGUUGGUGAGGUAAGGGCUCACCAAGGCGACGAUCCCUAGCUGGUCUGAGAGGAUGAUCAGCCACACUGGAACUGAGACACGGUCCAGACUCCUACGGGAGGCA